UUUAGCAUCAACCUCCCACCCACACCCACUUCCAGGCCGAUAAAGACUUCCCAAGUUGGGGAGAACAAAAGUAGAGAAAUGAGUGUAAGCAAGAGAAAUAGAGGUAUUAGAGUUAUAAGAAAGGCUCUUUUACCAUGCCCUUUACCUUGAGGUUAGCUCUAUGGUGGGGAAAGAUGAUGGAGGCUCAUGUGAUGUUGGGGAUCUGUUACCAUGUAAAAUCCUGGGAGGCAACAGCCUAACGGUGUUUCCUAGCACACAAUGUUGUGACAGUAGUAAGGUAAAAAUGGUCACAUAGAGUGCUAUGGAUAGGGAUAGCUUAAGGCAGCCCCUCUGAAUCUCUAGCAGCCCCAGAGAGGCACAGAUGAAGAGCUAAAUUGCUCCUAGACUCUCAAUAAGGGCACAACAUUUAGCUGACAAAGGGCCCAAGGGGUCCAAUAGCCAUAACAGUGCAUCACAAAAGUGGAAAGUGGCAUACGACGUGCACAUCAUGAGUCCAGGUGUGUCAAAAUUAUCUCCACAGGUACCUAAUGUAGCACCCAAGAACCACAUGGGGCUAUUGGUCAUCUCAACAGAUGCCAGGCCAUGUCAAGACUAAGGACAGAAGCCCUUUCCUGCUGACCCAGAAGUUAGGUAACACUGGAGAAAAGGAAGUAGAAGAGAUCAUCUGGAGUCAUUUGCAUUCUUUGUUGUGGAGUAAUUUCAUCUGAUGACUGGAUUCAAGGAGUGGCUACAUCUGUGGGUUUCUGAUAGAGUGAAGUUGAAGAUGAUUGGAACAGAGAAAGAUGAGAAAUUGUGAGAUAAAGAAACCAAGAUGACCUGCCAAAGGUUACAGACAUGGUAAGGGACAGGACCAGGAUGCAACCUCAGGUCAUCUGGAAGCAGAAGGUACACUUAACCACUACACAUUGCCUCUAAAUAAAUGUUUGCUAG